rnacentral:rRNA from 1 species
UACGUAGGGGGCAAGCGUUGUUCGGAAUUACUGGGCGUAAAGCGCACGUAGGCGGCUUGGUAUGUCGGGUGUGAAAUCCCCGGGCUCAACCUGGGAAUUGCGAUGGAGACUGCAAGGCUAGAAUCUGGCAGAGGGGGGUAGAAUUCCACGUGUAGCAGUGAAAUGCGUAGAGAUGUGGAGGAACACCGAUGGCGAAGGCAGCCCCCUGGGUCAAGAUUGACGCUCAUGCACGAAAGCGUGGGGAGCAAACAGG